CUCUCCACUGUUUUUUAUAGUUAAGAAAUGCACAUUUAGACAAAAGUGUUCAUGAGCUGCUCUGACAAUUUUUUUUUUUUUUGGCCAUAGGUGGGUUGUUCCUGUGCAGAAGCGUGAAGCCUAAGAACAGAAUGGGACCCUCUGACUUUAGCAAGGAAAGUGUAAGAGGCAUAGCUCACAAAUGAACAGAAGGAGUGCAGAGGGAAUCAGCAAUUGUCUCUUGGGAGAAGAAGAAAAGACAUGAAAGGGACCGCAGUAAAGCAAAAGCUGCCAUUUCGCUCCAGUACAAAUGAUCUAGCCCCAGAAACCCUGCUGUUAACCAGCACAACCUUCAUGCAGGAUGAAAAUAGAUCUAAGAAGAGUGACACGUUCAGGUGUAAGUUCAGUGUUUCUCUUAAUAGUGCUCAAGAGUCUGAAGAAAGAACCUACAUUGAAAGGGGCGCCUUAAUAUCUCUGGCUGCUGUAUUGAUUGCAUGGGCUUGCAGACAACCGUAG
rnacentral:lncRNA from 1 species